rnacentral:rRNA from 1 species
GAACGCUGGCGGAAUUGCUUUACACAUGCAAGUCGAACGGUAACAGGUCUUCGGAUGCUGACGAGUGGCGAACGGGUGAGUAAUAUAUCGGAACGUGCCCAGUCGUGGGGGAUAACGUAGCGAAAGCUACGCUAAUACCGCAUACGAUCUAUGGAUGAAAGCGGGGAUCGCAAGACCUCGCGCGAUUGGAGCGGCCGAUAUCAGAUUAGGUAGUUGGUGGGGUAAUGGCCUACCAAGCCGACGAUCCAUAGCUGGUUUGAGAGGAUGAUCAGCCACACUGGGACUGAGACACGGCCCAGACUCCUACGGGAGGCAGCAGUGGGGAAUUUUGGACAAUGGGCGCAAGCCUGAUCCAGCCAUUCCGCGUGCAGGACGAAGGCCUUCGGGUUGUAAACUGCUUUUGUACAGAACGAAAAGGUCUCUAUUAAUACUAGGGGCCCAUGACGGUACUGUAAGAAUAAGCACCGGCUAACUACGUG